GUCGAACGCUGGCGGCGUGCUUAACACAUGCAAGUCGAACGGACAGACAGAGAGCUUGCUCUCUUGAAGUUAGUGGCGAACGGGUGAGUAACGCGUAAUCAACCUGCCCUUCAGAGGGGGAUAACAACGGGAAACCGUUGCUAAUACCGCGUACGAUUCAUGAACGGCAUCGUUUAUGAAUGAAAGGUGGCCUCUAUGUAUAAGCUAUCGCUGAAGGAGGGGAUUGCGUCUGAUUAGCUAGUUGGAGGGGUAACGGCCCACCAAGGCAAUGAUCAGUAGCCGGUCUGAGAGGAUGAACGGCCACAUUGGGACUGAGACACGGCCCAAACUCCUACGGGAUGCAGCAGUGGGGAAUCUUCCGCAAUGGACGAAAGUCUGACGGAGCAACGCCGCGUGAGUGAUGAAGGUCUUCGGAUUGUAAAGCUCUGUUAAUCGGGACGAAAGGGUUCUGCGUGAAUAAUGCAGAAAAGUGACGGUACCGGAAUAGAAAGCCACGGCUAACUACGUGCCAGCCGCCGCCGUAA
rnacentral:rRNA from 1 species